AAACAGGUUUGUUUCAUCGCUCUUUAUUUUAAGGGAGGAAAGUCCGGGCAACAUAGGGCAAUUUGCCAUCUGAAAGGAUGGGUAUAUUUUUAGGAAUGAAAGAAUAACAGAUAGUGUCACAGAAAACCAAGUAGCCAUUCAUUUCGGUGGGCGGUCAUAGUGAAAAUGUGAGGUAAGAGCUCACAUGUGCAGUUGGUAACAGCUGCAUAGGACAAACCUCUUGUGUUGUAAGGCCAUGUAUACGCUGAUCUUGUGGCGGCUCGUCACAAUAACCUCGGUUAUAUCAGAGAGGGUAGGCUGCAUAGAUAAAUGAUGGGAGUCGUUUGCUGAAAGGCUUACGAAACAGAACCCGGCUUAUAGAACCUGUUUUUAU
rnacentral:RNase_P_RNA from 1 species